rnacentral:rRNA from 1 species
ACACGUGAUUCAGAGUUUGAUCCUGGCUCAGGACGAACGCUGGCGGCGUGCUUAACACAUGCAAGUCGAACGAUGAAGCCCAGCUUGCUGGGUGGAAGAGUGGCGAACGGGUGAGUAACACGUGAGUAACCUGCCCUUAACUUCAGGAUAAGCGCUGGAAACGGCGUCUAAUACUGGAUAUGAGCAGUCCCUGCAUGGGGGUUGUUGGAAAGAUUUAUCGGUUUUGGAUGGACUCGCGGCCUAUCAGCUUGUUGGUGAGGUAAUGGCUCACCAAGGCGACGACGGGUAGCCGGCCUGAGAGGGUGACCGGCCACACUGGGACUGAGACACGGCCCAG